rnacentral:rRNA from 1 species
AGAGUUUGAUCCUGGCUCAGGACGAACGCUGGCGGCGUGCCUAAUACAUGCUAGUCGAGCGGAGUUUAUCGGGAGCUUGCUCCUGAUAAACUUAGCGGCGGACGGGUGAGUAACGCGUAGGCAACCUGCCCGUAAGACUGGGAUAACUACCGGAAACGGUAGCUAAUAGCGGAUACGCAAGUCUCUCGCAUGAGGGACUUGGGAAAGGCGGAGCAAUCUGUCACUUACGGAUGGGCCUGCGGCGCAUUAGCUAGUUGGUGGGGUAACGGCUCACCAAGGCGACGAUGCGUAGCCGACCUGAGAGGGUGAACGGCCACACUGGGACUGAGACACGGCCCAGACUCCUACGGGAGGCAGCAGUAGGGAAUCUUCCGCAAUGGACGAAAGUCUGACGGAGCAACGCCGCGUGAGUGAUGAAGGUUUUCGGAUCGUAAAGCUCUGUUGCCAGGGAAGAACGUCCGUUAGAGUAACUGCUAACGGAGUGAC